rnacentral:antisense_RNA from 1 species
CGUGUAAGAAGUGCCUUUUGCCUCCCACCGUGAUUCUGAGGCCUCCCCAACCAUGUGCAAUUGCACAGGCCCAGGGUGAAGAGGAAAGACAAGAGCCACCCUGCCCAGAAACGUCCACAUGUGGGUACUGCAUUCCUACCGGUGUGACAGCUUGAGGCCCCCACGCCCGUCACAGUGGCAGGUGUAGCUCCCUGGGGAGUUCACGCAGACCUGCUCACAGCGGCCCUGCAGACACUCGUCCACAUCUGCCAGCCAGAGGGAAGCGGCAGUGAGCGGGGGAGGCCUCUAUGCUGUCCCGCCGCGGGAUCACACCGCGAUUGCUGAAACCACACACAAGGUCCUGCCAUCAGAGGAGAGCUCGAAGCCGCUGUGGCAGGAACAGUGGAAGCUGCCCGGCUUGUUGUGGCAGAUCUGGAGGCAGCCCCCGUUCUCCUGGCUGCAUUCGUUGACAUCUGGGAACAAGCACAGGCCUGAAGGGGAGCCCAAGGGUGCACAGCCUCUGGCUACGGAGGAGGCUGCAGGCCAGGAGUGACCUCUGGGUGCUGAGGACAGACAAGGCCAGGCCAGAGCUGGCCACUCCUUAGCAAAGCCCUCCCAGGCCACCUGUGGGGUGGGACUUGCCAAAGGGGACAGGCUGGCCUGCUGGACUCUCCACUAUGGGUCUCCACCAGGCCCUGAAGCUAUUCUUCCUCCAGGGUCUUCACUGACACCACAGGUCUGCACUCAAGGAUGGUCAGAGGUGAAAUUUCCCCCCCGCCUUUCAAUCAGUGGGUGCCACUGACACCACAGGUCUGCACUCAAGGAUGGUCAGAGGUGAAAUUCCCCCCCCGCCUUUCAAUCAGUGGGUGCCACUGACACCACAGGUCUGCACUCAAGGAUGGUCAGAAGUGAAAUUUCCCCCCCGCCUUUCAAUCAGUGGGUGCUGAGGCAUCACUUGGUGUUUCCUUUCCUUCCAGCCCUGCUCCCAGAAAGGAGACCGCAGCUCCUCCCAAUUCUCCUGGGGCUCCAGGAUACCUCAGGGCUGCAGCCUCCUUGGGGCUGUCGGAGAGCAGCCUGAGGAUGGCCGUGCCCUGGAGUGGGAGUGAGGAGCGGGGAUCAGGACAGGGUCGGAGAUGGAGGGAGACCCCGCCUUUGUCUUCAGCCUCACGUACCUUUGUCGCAGAGCCGGCCCCCCCAGCCAGCUUUACACAGGCAGAAGAAGUUGCCCAUGAGGUCCUGGCAGGCUUGGGUCCCCUUCCUAUCGCAGGGGUUGGGCGUGCACUGGUCAGGCAGGUCUGAUUGGGGACACAAAGUGGAAAAUCAUGUUCAGCUGCCCCCACCCCGUGCCCAACGCAGCUGAGAUCGGGGCGGCUGUGGGGUCUCGGGUCCAGCCCGGAGGAGCUCUGAGGGGCGCAGGCUGAGGCAGGCCCCGGGCACCCGAGCCCUCUGUGCUGGCCUAGGGCUGAUAGAAUAGGCUGGCGGGCCCUGGGGCCGGCUCCAGGAAAACUCAGAUCAACUGGGAGGGAGUGCCAGCAGGCCUGGACGCAAGGUGGGAAGGGCUGAGGGCAAAGGAGCAGGAACUGCCUGGUGUGAGGCCUGGGAGCUCAGACCUCCCAGGGAGUAGGCACACAGAACCCCCAGCUGACCUGGGGGCUUCCGGGCAGACUUGGAACAUUCUGCCUUCCCUGGCCAGCCCUAGCCCAUCUCUGGUGAACUCUCCCCGCUGGGUGUGGCGGGGAGGACCCCAGGCCCAGGCUGCACUGCCAGAGGGGUCCUCCAGGAAGCCCCCCUCUUUCUGCUUAGCUGCCCCCUCUCCACGUGUCUUGAUGGCUUUAGGCCAGGUGUGUUCUGCCCUUUCUCAGGGUGGUCACCUGGGCUCAGCUCCUGCAGGGCCAGAGGUCAGGGGAACGGGUGAGGGCCUGAGGGUGGGAACCCAUGCCAGUGCAGCUGCUUCCCAAGCAGUCCCCCAUCCGAGAAGCUGCUCACAAACACGUUCAUACGAGGAGCUGCUCACAAACACGCUUCCAGGACACGGACCCAAACCACGUCCCAGAGGCAGGCAGGGAAGCCCCCGACAGUGCAGUUACGCAAGCCUGAGCCCCGGGAAGUUGGCAGAAAGAACGACAAUUACACCCGGAGCUCAAAGAAUCCUUUCAUGGCUGCUGGCUGAGCAGAAGCAGCUCGGGGCUGGGCAUGGCAGUGCUCAGGGGCGCGGUCCACACUCAGCUCAGCCCCACAUGAGGACUCAGCCACGCUCAGCUUAGCCACACAGGGCUCCGUGGGGAACCCUGGGUAGGGCCCCCCUGCUGGCUGAGAGAGGGCUCCUGUCCCUUGAUUCCACACAAGUUCAAUAAGGACCAGUCCCUGGGAAAAGUGCAGGCCGGGCCAGCAGGGCCCUAGGGCACUGGGCCAGCGUCGUCCUAAGGGGUCAGCCCUGGUGGGGCACGUCGAGUCUUCAGUGCAUGGGCUCUCACUGACAGUGUGUCGCUUCCGUUCCUGAGGCUCCCAAGGUGACGUUUCCCACCAGGUCUGUGGAAUGUGGCGUUUCCACCAGAGGGUCUGGGCUCGGCUGUCAGUGCAGGAGCCGCUUCCCUCCCCACCUGGCCAGGGUCAGGGGUGCCCGGUGCCAGGGUGAGCGGCGGGCGGGUCUGUGGUUCACAAAGCUGAGUUCCUCCAGCUCAUCCAGGGCAUACAGUCACUGCCUGUGGCCGGCACAGACACAGCCCCUGUCCUCCUAGGCGGGUCCAGGCACCGAGCUCACCAGAGGCCCUGGCUACGAGUCCCAGGCUUCUUGGGGAAGCUGCCCAACCACACUGGCUUCUUUCUGCGACGCUUCGCCGUAUGCCUCACAGCGUUUCCUCCGUAUGCCUCACAGUUUGCUCCGUACACCCGUUUCCUCCGUAUGCCCCAGUUUCCUCCAUACGCCUCAAUUUCCUCCAUACGCCCCACAGUUUCCUCCGUAUGCCCCAGUUUCCUCCAUACGCCCCAGUUUCCUCCAUACACCUCAAUUUCCUCCAUAUGCCCCAGUUUCCUCCACACGCCCCAGUUUCCUCCAUACGCCCCACAGUUUCCCCCAUAUGCCCAGUUUCCUCCAUACGCCCCACAGUUUCCUCCAUACGCCCCAGUUUCCUCCAUAUGCCCCAGUUUCCUCCAUACACCCCACAGUUUCCUCCAUAUGCCCAGUUUCCUCUAUAUGCCCCAGUUUCCUCCAUACGCCCCAGUUUCCCCCAUAUGCCAAUUUCCUCCAUACACCUUUCCUCCAUACACCUCAAUUUCCUCCGUAUGCCCCACAGUUUCCUUCAUAUGCCCCAGUUUCCUCCAUACGCCCCACAGUUUCCUCCAUAUGCCUCAAUUUCCUCCAUACGCCCCACAGUUUCUUCCACACACCCCACAGUUUCCUCCAUACGCCUCAAUUUCCUCCAUACGCCCCAGUUUCCUCCAUAUGCCCCAAAGUUUCCUCCAUAUGCCCCACAGUUUCCUCCAUACACCUCAAUUUCCUCCGUAUGCCCCAUAGUUUCCUCCGUACGCCUCACAGUUUCCUCCAUACGCCCCAGUUUCCUCCAUAUGCCUCAGUUUCCUCCAUACGCUCCAGUUUCCUCCAUACACCUCAGUUUCCUCCAUAUGCCCCAGUUUCCUUCGUACACCUGUUUCCUCUGUACACCUCACAGUUUCCUCCAUACGCCCCAGCUUCCUCCAUAUACCUCAGUUUCCUCCAUAUGCCUCAGUUUCCUCCGUACGCCCCAGCUUCCUCCAUACGCCUCAAUUUCCUCUGUAUGCUUCAGUUUCCUCCAUACGCCUCAGUUUCCUCCGUCUGCCUCACAGUUUCCUCUAUAAGCCUCAGUUUCCUCAGUACACCCCACAGUUUCCUCCCUACACCUCCAGUUUGCUUGUUUUGCACAAAUGACUGACAACAGAACACUUGUGGGUGUGGACAGAGCUCACGUCUCGAAGUGUUUCUAAGAUGCUAUUUUCAGCAGGUUGCUAUAAACGCUUUCUACUCUGAAGCACACAGGGGCUGGGGCUGGCCUUCGGAGUUAUGAGGAAACGAGGACCAGGACCAGGGAUUCUGCAUCAGCACAGCUGCCAGGAGCCGGCCGGGGCCCCAUCCCUGACACUGCUGUCGCCCGGCCGUACCUGGGUGCUGUGUCUGCGGGGCGUCUGGAGACGUCGACGUGGUCAUAGCAGGGCCUGGAACGGGGAGGUCUGGCCUGGACUAGAGAAAUGAGGGGCGUAUCCGCUUCUCCACCCUGGCCUCAGAUGAAGAGGCUCUGGGGGCAGGAGGGAGUCAGACACGUGCAGGGCAGGCGGCCUGUGCAGGGCCCAACCCUCCGGCACCAGAACCUGACCUCCUCAGAGGCCCCCACCGUGGAGGGAUGUCUGGGGGAUGCUGUGCGCUGCCGCUAUGAUGUUUGGUUAGAGAUUAAAGCCAUUUCAGAAGUGGACACCUGCCCAUGUGAUGCAAAGGGCUGGGAACCCGGUCUUGACUUUGCCUGGAAUGCCUUUCGGAAAGACCUCUGUCCCUGAGGCUGAGGGACAGUGCCCGCUCCUGCCAGGUGCCCAGCUCUUAAGCGGUCCCCAGUCUCAUGCCGCCUGCCCCGGGGCCUCCCCCAACUCAUUUGUUUAUUUCCCUGUUGGGAAUGUAUUGAUACCUCUAGGAUGCAAGGACGGAACCACACCUGAGGGGUGGACAGUCAGCCGGUGCCCAGCAAAUAUCUGUGGAAUUUCCUCCACACAACAGGGAAAGCAAUGGAGACAGAAACCUCUGCAGACCCCCGAGGGCACCCACUUCCCUGACCCCGCCCACCUCCCUGAUCCCCGCCCACCUCCCUGACCCCCAUCCUGCAAGCUGGGCCUAGGGUAUCGGUGGCCUGGCUGGUCAUGCCCUGGGCGCCAGCGCCUGCGGAGAGUUCAGGAAGUGAAGGGUUUAUCUCAGCUUGGCCCAUGACUGCGUUGAAGGACAGGAGGGAGCGGCUGUGGCUGUGGCUGGAAUCUGAAGCCGGUGUGGGCAGCCAGGGCCUUUCCCUGGGUGGUGACGAGCGAGGACCAGAGCCCUGUCUGCCCGAGGGAAGGGCGAGGGGACACUCCCCAUGGCGGGGGUGGGAUCCCGGUAGCCGGGGCUCAGUGACCGCUGCCUGGGCCACCGCCUGUGGGGACCUGACCUUCCUGGGGAAACCCAUGGGUCAAAGGAGCUGAGAAAUCCAAGCACCAAGUGGCCGCUAGGGCAGGACGGACGCGUUCGCAGUGGAGAAGCUGGGUGUGUCCGUGGGAAAGGAAAGAAAUGGAAGCAGAGGCUCUUCAGGGGCACCUGGGAACGCAGCCUACACUCUUCCCAGGCCUCCUCCCUCCGUCCACUGUGCCGCCUGGGUCCUGGGACAGCCUGAGGGCCGCAGGCUCCCAUGCAAGGCCCGCUGGGGGCCUGCUUGUCUGGGGCUGAAUUUGGACUUUAUGGGGCUAUGGCUUUAAUUUCACAAUGACCGAUAACCAGUGAACUGAAGCCAGGACAGCACCGUGAGCACCAAGUCAGAAAUUUUCACGAGGGAACCGAUGAACAGGAACAGAGUGUGAGGCUGCCCCAGCCGCGUCCUCCGGGAGGCGCCUUCCCAAGGGAGUGCAAGGCUGCCUGCUGUGGCCAGGCCACCAAAGCACCUUCUUCACUGCCAGGCAUCUUUUGAGGCACGCGAACAUCAGAGGCCCCAGCCAUGUGCUCUGGAGGAGAAGCUGAGAGCCCCAGGCCACAGGCAGGGCAGCCUCUGAGGGCCGGCUCAGGGAGAGUGGCCGGAGCUUCUGGCCUGGGGCAGGUGGACCCGUUAGAAACUGCAUGUGUUGCCUCUGGCACCAGCCACAGCAAGAGAUUCUCUUCCUAUCACACAGGGAACAAACUCAAGGAUCUUGACCUUGCCCUCCUCUCCCCAGCUGGCCGCACUUGGGGACGCUGAUGCCACAAAGGAAAUAAUAAACCAAAACAAGAUAACUCUAUUGGGUGGCGGGAACAGAAAGGAACAUGUAGCAAUCACUCCUCUUCAUCCACGCAAGGAAGCGAGGCGAUGCCUUGAAAAGGACGGCCUUCUUUGCUGCAAAUAGCCAGAAGUGAACUGAGCAAAGCAAGCACGGGACGCACAGGAAGAAAAGUGCUCCAAGGGACGGACAGGACGGUGCCGGGGUUAGGAAAGCGCAACGCUGUUCAGACACAGUCUCCGAUAUAUGAAUGGCAAGCCCAGUUAAAAAUAUCUAAAGGGCUUUUUUAGGUUUUUAAGAAUAUUUUUAAGGUUUAGUUUUAUUAAAAAAUAAGCAAGACAACCAGAAAAAAGACUGAGGAGGGCAUAGGAGACCCACCCGCGUGCAUGAGGCCGAGUCUAAAGCUGUGGCCAUGGCCUGUGGAAACCCGGCAGAAAAUCUCCCAAAUACCCAGCAUAUGAGGACGGCAGCAGGUGAGGCACUGGGGUGAGACAGACUCAAAUGCGUGGUGUUGGGACAGCAGGGGAGGCACUGGGGUGAGACAGACUCAAAUGUGUGGUGUUGGGGCAGGAACUGAGCCUGCAGUCUAGAUCCCCACCUCAUCCAUCACGUCAAAAGAAAUUACAGGCGGGUCACAGAUGAAAACACCUAACAGCAGAUAACUGUUUUGUAAUCUUGGGGAGAAGCCUAAAGCCCAGGAACUAAGAGAGUAUAACAAGUGUGAAUACAGAAUUUAAAAGAAGAGAUUGGUUUAGCAAUCACUAAGAUAAAACACGCGUGGCAGGAUCUGCUUGUCUCCUCUGAGCACGCAGGAGCCUCUGCCCCAAAUGCAGACAUUGGGCCCUAUGUGGCACCUGGCUACUGUGCAUGGUUGCAGGUCAGGGCAGGCCGAGCCACAGGGCAGGGCCACCCUCCCAUUCCCAUGUUUACACUGAGCAUUUCCUCUGCCUGUGUCUCUUGGGCUGGGGUCUGUGAUACAAGUCCGGGAGGCCAGAGACGCCCACGGACAGUGCGUGGGGCUUGGGGAGCGGGACUGAGCCACCUCUGACUCCUUCUGCUGACUGGGAUCCAGCUCCAAAGCCAUGCCUGGGAAGAGACUCCUGCCUCUCCCAGGAUGACUCCGUCCCGCCACGCCUCCGCUCUCAGCGCCCACAGGGACUCACCAAGCUGGACUUUCAUCUAAAACUAGACACACGUGACGCCAGCAGACCACAGACCCAGUGUGAGGGGAGCUGUGGGGGUUGUGCUGCAGGUAUGUUAAAAUUCAUACAGGACACCCAAAACAAUCAAUCUUACUGCAUGAUAAUUUUGAAAUAAUAAAAAAGACUUGUGGCAAGCUGAAAAAAUUUUUGAUAACUUUACUACCAAUGGCUAAUGUGCAAACUCCUACAAAUUGAGAAAAACAGGCAAAAAAUAUAAACAACAGUUUAUAGGAAAAGAAAUACACAGUUUUUAAACCUAUGAAGCACAGCUUUACUCAUUAGUU